UUGAGGGGGGCUGCUCCUAGUACGAGAGGACCGGAGUGGACGCAUCACUGGUGUUCGGGUUGUCAUGCCAAUGGCACUGCCCGGUAGCUAAAUGCGGAAGAGAUAAGUGCUGAAAGCAUCUAAGCACGAAACUUGCCCCGAGAUGAGUUCUCCCUGAGACCUUGAGUCUCCUGAAGGAACGUUGAAGACGACGACGUUGAUAGGUCGGGUGUGUAAGCGCAGCGAUGCGUUGAGCUAACCGAUACUAAUGAACCGUGAGGCUUAACCUU
rnacentral:rRNA from 1 species